UUUCAGUAGAUGAUGGGCAAGGAAUGAUCAUUGAUUGCCAACAGUAUUUGUUUUUCUGUUUACAGAGGGGGAUGAGGAUAUACCUCCAAGUUCCGUAAAAUCAAGACGGAGCUUGAGGAUAUCUUCCAGGAUGACGUUAAGAUAGUAGGUGAGAGCACCCCUACCAUCACUGGCUGGUUGGAGGUGCAGGUUGUCGGGGGUCCACUGCUGCACUCCAAGAAGAACGGAGAUGGUUAUGUGGACAGCAAGCAGAAGAUGGACCGUAUUGUCCAGGGGAUCGAAGCAGAGCUGAAGAAGUAAAGGUGGUUGUACUGCCUCUGCUGCUGGUCCAACCCCAGAAAGGUGACCGUGGACUUGUUCAUGUGUGGCGAAUCCUGUUCAUGACGAGGCGGCCUGAAACGGAAUCCUCCAGGGGCCUGCUUCUGACCAACCACAGGAAGGCCACUCUGACCACGUCCACUCCACACCUUUCUGGGUUAUUGUAGAACAGUGUUAGGAACUUCUCUGGGAUAUGGUGUAGUGUAUCUUCUACCACUAAGGCUAUACAAAUUUGAUUUCUUGGUUCUUGUUGUUUGUUUUUAAUCUUAAAAAAAGAGCAAAAAACAAAUAUUGGGGUCCAUCAGGAUGAAGAAAGUUUAAAAAAGAAAUUAUUUUCAAAAAGUCUGGGUUCUACAAAACAUAAAGGAUAACAAGUUUUCAGCUUGUAAAAAGCAAGUCAACACUACCACUGUACAGUAGCUACACCUUUUUGUCGAAAA